rnacentral:misc_RNA from 1 species
AAGGAGUCCAACACAUACGCGAGUGUUUGGGUGUCAAACCCGAGCGCGAAGUGAAAGCAAACGUAGGUGGGAUCCGAAAGGUGCACCAUCGACCGGUCUGGACGUUUACUGAAAGAUCUGAGUAAGAGCGUAUUUGUUGGGACCCGAAAGAUGGUGAACUAUGCCUGAAUAGGGUGAAGUCAGAGGAAACUCUGAUGGAAGCUCGUAGCGGUUCUGACGUGCAAAUCGAUCGUCAAAUUUGGGUAUAGGGGCGAAAGACUAAUCGAACCAUCUAGUAGCUGGUUCCCUC